AAGUAAACUAACAUAUGAGGAACUAAAUCUGUAUUAUAACAUAAAUAUAAAGUUUAGACUCGACAAGUAUACAUGAACUAGUGAAGUGAAAAUAAAAAGACGACAUACAGAUAUGAAGUUAUUCGGAAUUAUAGUCCUUGUUGCUCUGUUGAUUUUUUCAUCAGUUACAAUACCAGCCGGUAAGUAAAUAAAACACCUAAAUUGAUAAAAAUGCUAAGCUUCGAUUUUUCGUGAUUUUUUUUUUAUCAUUUUAGUUUCUUUUGACAUUUAUUUACUAUUACAUCAUUUAUGUAUCAAGUGUAUACUUGUCAGAAAAAUUACCACGAUUAAACAUAUCAGUUUCACAGAUGAAAGGGAUAUUUUCUUAUAGUCCUAAUCACAAUCACGAUUGUGAAAUUGUCAAAUUAGACGUAUCACUGAAUUGUUUGCGUAAAUUAACAAUAACACGGAAGCCACAGCUGGAGCAGGUUUUGUUUACCUACCGGAGCACAUAAAAUCUACCCUGGCUCUUGGAAGCGACAGCUGGAGCAGGUUUUAUUUACCUACCGGAGCACAUAAAAUCUACCCUGGCUCUUGGAAGCCACAGCUGGAGCAGGUUUUGUUAACCUACCGGAACACAUAAAAUCUUCCAUGGCUCUUGGAAGCCACAGCUGGAGCAGGUUUUGUUUACCUACCGGAGCACAUAAAAUCUUCCUUGUCUUUUGGAAGCCACAGCUCGAGCAGGUUUUGUUUACCUACCGGAGCACAUAAAAUCUUCCCUGGCUGUUGGAAGCCACAGCUGGAGCAGGUUUUGUUUACCUACCGGAGCACAUAAAAUCUUCCCUGGCUCUUGGGAGCCACAGCUGGAGCAGGUUUUAUUUACCUACCGGAGCACAUAAAAUCUUCCAUGGCUUUUUGAAGCCACAGCUGGAGCAGGUUUGUUUACCUACCGGAGCACAUAAAAUCUUCCCUUGCUCUUGGAAGACACAGCUGGUGCAGGUUUUGUUUACCUACCGGAGCACAUAAAAUCUUCCCUGGCUCUUAGAAGCCACAGCUGGAGCAGGUUUUGUUUACCUACCGUAGCAAAUAAAAUCUUCCCUGGCUCUUGAAAGUCACAGCUGGAGCAGGUUUUGUUUACCUACCGGAGCACAUAAAAUCUUCCCUGGCUCUUGGAAGCCACAACUGGAGCAGGUUUUGUUUACCUACCGGAGCACAUAAAAUCUUCCAUGGCUCUUGGAAGUCACAGCUGUAGCAGGUUUUGUUUACCUACCGGAGCACAUAAAAUCUUCUCUGGCUCUUGGAAGCCACAGCUGGAGCAGGUUUUGUUAACCUACCGGAGCACAUAAAAUCUUCACUGGCUCUUGGAAGCUACAGCUCGAGCAGGUUUUGUUUACCUACCGGAGCACAUAAAAUCUUCCCUGGCUCAUGGAAGCCACAGCUGGAGCAGGUUUUGUUUACCUACCGGAGCACAUAAAAUCUUCCCUGGCUCUUGGAAGCCACAGCUGGAGCAGGUUUUGUUUACCUAUUGGAGCACAUAAAAUUUUCCCUGGCUCUUGGAGGUCCCAGCUGGAGCAGGUUUUGUUUACCUACCGGAGCACACAAAAUCUUCCCUGGCACAUGGAAGCCACAACUGGAGCAGGUUUUGUUUACAUACCGGAGCACAUAAAAUCGUCCCUGGCUCAUGGAAGCCACAGCUGGAGCAGGUUUUGUUUACCUACCGGAGCACAUAAAAUCUCCCCUGGCUCAUGGAAGCCACAGCUGGAGCAGGUUUUGUUUACCUAUCGGAGCACAUAAAAUCUUCCCUGGCUCUUGGAAGCCACAGCUGGAGCAGGUUUUGUUUACCUACUGGAGCACAUAAAAUCUUCCCUAGCUCUUGGUCAGGUUAGUAUUUCUCACAUUCAUCAAUUUACUUAUAGUAUUUGUAGUAAACGAUACUCUCUUUAGAUUCAUAUGAGUUAUUGUAGUAAUGUUAUAUAGAUUUUGGUUAGAGUUUUAUGUUUUUUUUUAUUUGCUCAAUAUGUUGUAAAAUGUGUUAUAUUUUAUAGACCAAUUUGUGUGUGUUCACUGUCCUUCUUUCUGUAAAAGUUUUAUCUUUCCACCAUCCACGUAUAAUUUUGUAAUUGAUGAAAUGUAAAUAUAUUUGAACUUGCUCGUUUUGUUCAUUAAUAUAAAUUGAACAAAAUAGUAACCAGCGAUGUCUUUACAAAAAGCGCGUUCCUUGUUAGUCAGUAUAAAAAUACAAAACUGGGAAAACAUUAUCCAAUGUAAGUCUGAAAUCAGAACAUAUAAAAUAAAACAAGCAAUUGGACAUUCAAUACUACAGUAGGUUUUCAUAUUGUGAAGCGCCCUCCCUCCCCCUCCCCCUGUAAUAGAUCAAGUAAAUUUUCAGAAAAUAAAUGUUUUUACUGUUUGGGUUAAAUGGAAUUGGACUCAAAAAUCAAAUGUUUAUUUUUUUCUUUAUUGCACCGACUUUGAUGAUAAAUAUAUAUUCAUUGAUUAAUUUAAUGACAAUUACAGCUGCUUAUGGAAGAUAUAACCAAGGGCAUACGGGGUAUAGAAGACAUUCGGUAAGAAGGGUGAGUGGAAAGAUUUUCUUAUUCUCCUGGUAUAAACCACCCAUCAAUGUAGACAUAAAACCAAUACUUGCACCAAAUAACCAAGUAUAAUCAAUACUUGUACCAAAUAUCCAAGUAAAGCCGAUACUUGUACCAAAUAUCCAGGUAUACAUAUACACUCUGAAUAUACACGCCAUAAAAGGCUAUAAUAAAUACCAAAGACUUUGUAAAGUGGAUAGUCGCACGACAACGCCGAUGCUCUAUAUUUAAUAAGAAAUAAACACAAUUCAUACAUAUAUAUCUACACAUAAAAUAUAUAAUUCAAACAUCAGUAUCAAACAAAAAACUCUCCAAAUAAAAAGCUUAAUAAGUUUUAACCAGAAUUAAAAUUUACCAAGAAAAUUCGACUGCUCAGAUUGACGAUGUCGUGCUGAAUGAUUACAUAGGCAAUAAAAUUCCGCGAGAAUAAUUUUUAAGCGGGAAAACAUUACGCCCUCUAUGCUACAUAUGAUGAAACACCCAGGAGAAAUUAAUUUCAUUCUAAUGCACUGCCCGUUUAAACGAAUGAAAUUAUAAUUAUCUUAUUUGGUUCAGGUUUAAAGAAAAUAGUGGAGUUUGUUUAAAAUUGUAAUGGAUUGUUUGUUGUACGUCCAUUACUCAUAUUCAGUCGUAAUAUAUGACUGAAUACAUUGACAAAAUAUUUGAAACUAAAUAAAUAUUAUUUGAUAUAAUCAGGUUUCAUGUUUUCAAGAUGAGCUUUUCAUUGCUCAAUAUAUGUACUGAUUUAUAUUCGUGCUUAUGACAGCAGUAAAACGACAAACGUGUACGGCACACUCUCUCCAAUUAUUUAUACUAUUUCGCCUCCUAAAUCUCGAAAAAUUUUCAACAGACUAAAUAUAUUCAUACAGAUAUCUUUAAAUAAACAUGAAUCAAACAUUAAUACAUAUUCAAUAAACAAAAACAGCAGUAACCCUGAAUUUACAAAUUCUUGUUUUUAUUAACGUAUCAAUAAAAUCCAAAUCUUCUUGUUAUAAAGUGCUAAAAGACUGGUUAACAAAUAGAGUACAUGACAAGUCGGCUUUGUUAUGAUUCUUUUGACCUAAUGUAAACAAAAAGUCAUAUUAUCAUAUUUUGAAUUCAUGAUCAUAUUGCUUUAAUAUAAGUAAAUUUGGAAUUUGAUAUCAUAUUAAGACCGGAAAAUGAUGUUUCUAUUAAGACACACAAGCAUAUUACAGAAUCAUAAUUUUGUGUCAGAAUGCAUUAGUUUAUUGCUUAAAAUAUAAGGUUUUUUUUUUAAAAAAGUGGGUAAAAUAAAAAAAAAAAAAAACUGCAAACCAAACAUUUCGUUCUUUUUGUUGAAUCGACAAAGAUAAAACGAACUCAUCCAGUGUUUAUUUGCAAAAAUGCAAAUACAUGUGGCUAAAGAUACGUUUAACAUGAUAAAUAUUUUUUAAUUUAAUAACAUUGGCUAAAUAUUUAAGAUCAGAUCUUACAAAUAAUUAGAAUAAAUAUAUGUUUUUAGAACGAGACAUUGAAUAAAGAAAAAGACAGACAAAUGAACAACAAUUUUACAAUGUUUCGUUUUACAGUUGUCAUUUAUGUCUUUUUAAAUUAAAGACAAUUAAAGUGACAUAAUACAAUUUACCGUUAUGACAUAAUCUACGCAGUAAAUAUUUUUAAAAGGUUAACAAGGAUAGGUAAGCAUAAACAAAAUUAGUUUAAGGCAGAACCCAACACCUUCCCCAAAAUUAAUUUGGAUCGUUUAAUUUUCAUAACAUUUUGACAAAGUAUUAACUUUGACCCUUUGACAAAAAUAUAAAAAAAUCAAAGAAUUUGAACCAACCAUUUUAUCAGAAAAAUUACACUGAUUAUAUAACAGUUUGACAAACACUAAUUUUGAUCAUUGAGAAGCUUCAUAUUCCCUUAAAAAUGCAACGUGAUUAACACAUUAGCUGAUUUUUCAGAGUUAUCUCCCUGUAGUGUUAGGUACCACCUUAAGAAUUCGCUUUGUUUAGCUAAAAGAGCAAUAACUAUAAAUACAAAAUAUACUAGUAGUUAAACUAUUGGAAGUAAGAAACAAUUGAAGUGUCCUUAUAUAAAAGAGGGGCGAAAAUACCAGAGGGAUUUAAACUCAUAGAUCGAAAAUAAACUGACAACGCCAUGGCUAAAAAGAAAAAGACAAACAGUACACAAAGCACAACUUAGAAAACUAAAGACUAUAUAGAUUCGUGUCCUGAAAGGAGCAAAGGUUUCUGAACAGUUACUAAAUCCAAUCUAAGUUACUGACUUUCCGUAAAAAUGACUAGUAUUAAAAACAAUCAAAAGUUUAAGCGUCGAAAAUGGACAACAUAAUUGCCUCCUGAUUAAAACCGUAAUGUUUUAACAUAAAAUACCAGUUACAUAGCGAAUUCAUUUUUUAAAUAACAGAAACCUCAUUCCGACUUAUACAUAUAGAUUCCUACACUGCAACAAGUGUAUUACUCUAUUUCUCCACUCGAGACAGUUAAAUUUUAUUAUUUAAAGCGCGAGGCUUGCCGCGCAUUUUAAAUAAUUAAAUUUAACUGUCGAGAGUGGAGAAAUAUCGUAAUACACGCGUUAUAGUGUCGGAAUCAGUUUUUUGAUGACUUCAGUCAUUCUUUUCCAAAGAUUUUCAGAAACUUGUGUUCUUAUAUGCGACGUCAUUAGACAAGGUCGCCUUUUUCAUGACGUCACAAUAGGAAAAUUUAGAAGAAAACAAAACAUUUUGACGUCAUAAUUUAAUUUCGACUAAUCAUUUGCCGAGAACAGAUUUUUCACUAGUGAGGAGAAAUAUUUUUCUCACACCAGUCAGGAAAUGUGAAAAUAGCACAAAAAUUAGAGAAAUUGAAUUAAUCGCAAAAACCGUAUACAUGAAAUGUAUAACAAAUAUGUAAACCACUAACAAAUCUACUUGCACACUACAAUACGAUUACUCAAUAUGUUUUACACAAUGGACGAUUUCUCAAACAACUUUAAUUUAUUUUGCAGCCUAGUGGUGGUGGUGGUGGUGGUGGUGGUGGUGACUAUUACGGUUAUCGUGGGAGACAUGGUGGAAAUUACUGAUAUAGAGGACGAUACUUUGAUAAAAGAUAUAGUUUCUGAAUAUUUUAAAUAUUUUUAAGUUUUGCUAUAAAAUAUAUCUUUAAAACUGAGGUUUACAUUUGACAUAUUUAACAUGUUUAAUACAAUUCCGAAAUACUGAUUUGAGCUACCAACGGAAUAGAUUACCAUAGUCAUACGUGUGUGAGUUUGAUAGAAUUUACUGUUGAAAUAUAAUGUGGCUAAUAAAAAGCUUGACAUCAGAAAUAGUUUUAAAUAUUUUUUAUACCAUAC
rnacentral:lncRNA from 1 species